ensembl:lncRNA
AGAACACUGAGCUCACUUCCUGAAGAAGCCUGAUCUAGCCUGCUGGAGAGGAGCCAUGAUUUGAAGGGGAAAUAACAAGGCCCAGCUGAGGUCUCUCCAGAACAACCUGGCUACCAACCAUUAGUUGGUUCCAAAUUAGGAAUGUGACCACUUGUGCCAGGGUUCUUAGAAGCACUUCCUCAUCCCUAAGAGUGGUCUUCUUUCUCUGGAUACUGGCGUGUUUGGAUUGUGAUGCCAAGGUUUUUUGCUAUCAUCUGUCUCUUGCCCAAGGAGGAAGCUGUUCUCUGAAGGAUGAGAGAGUAAAGAUUGGAGGAGCCUUGGAUCCUUCAUGACCUUGUUGUGCAACAGCAUCUAUCAACCUUGCCCUCCCUAUGAACUUCCUUGUUAUAUGAUAUAAUAAAUUUCCCAAUUGUUUCAGUAUUAGUCACAGUGUGAAUGGGUUUUAUUAUUAGCAGCUAAAACAUUCUGUUCACCAAGUGCCACUUGGUAACACUGAUUUUCCACAAAUGCUGGUAAAAUGCUCACUUCAACUCAUCCCACAUUCUCCAGCAUAGUUAGAGAAUGCUCUGGAGAAUAUACAUGGGUCCAGAUUUUUUAGAAACUCUCCAGGUACGCAGACCUCAGUCU